rnacentral:rRNA from 1 species
GAUGAACGCUAGCGGCAGGCUUAAUACAUGCAAGUCAAGGGGGUAGCAAUACAACCGGCGCACGGGUGAGUAACGCGUACACAACAUACCAUAUACUGGAGUAUAGCUUCGGGAAACUGAAGGUAAUCCUCCAUAACAUUGCGAGAAGGCAUCUAAUUGCAAUUAAAGUUUCGACGGUAUAUGAUUGGUGUGCGUUUGAUUAGCUAGUUGGUAGGGUAACGGCCUACCAAGGCGACGAUCAAUAGCUGGCGUGAGAGCGCGACCAGCCACACUGGAACUGAGACACGGUCCAGACUCCUACGGGAGGCAGCAGUAGGGAAUAUUCCCCAAUGGCCGAAAGGCUGAGGGAGCGACGCCGCGUGCAGGAAUAAGGCCUCGGUC